rnacentral:rRNA from 1 species
UAGAGUUUGAUCCUGGCUCAGAGUGAACGCUGGCGGUAGGCCUAACACAUGCAAGUCGAACGGCAGCACAGGAGAGCUUGCUCUCUGGGUGGCGAGUGGCGGACGGGUGAGGAAUACAUCGGAAUCUACCUUUUCGUGGGGGAUAACGUAGGGAAACUUACGCUAAUACCGCAUACGACCUACGGGUGAAAGUGGGGGACCGCAAGGCCUCACGCGAUUAGAUGAGCCGAUGUCCGAUUAGCUAGUUGGCGGGGUAAUGGCCCACCAAGGCGACGAUCGGUAGCUGGUCUGAGAGGAUGAUCAGCCACACUGGAACUGAGACACGGUCCAGACUCCUACGGGAGGCAGCAGUGGGGAAUAUUGGACAAUGGGCGCAAGCCUGAUCCAGCCAUACCGCGUGGGUGAAGAAGGCCUUCGGGUUGUAAAGCCCUUUUGUUGGGAAAGAAAUCCUAUCGGUUAAUAACCGGUGGGGAUGACGGUACCCAAAGAAUAAGCACCGGCUAACUUCGUGCCAGCAGCCGCGGUAAUACGAAGGGUGCAAGCGUUACUCGGAAUUACUGGGCGUAAAGCGUGCGUAGGUGGUGGUUUAAGUCUGCUGUGAAAGCCCUGGGCUCAACCUGGGAAUUGCAGUGGAUACUGGAUCACUAGAGUGUGGUAGAGGGAUGCGGAAUUUCUGGUGUAGCAGUGAAAUGCGUAGAGAUCAGAAAGGAACAU